rnacentral:rRNA from 1 species
GAUGAACGCUGGCGGCGUGCCUAAUACAUGCAAGUCGAGCGAACGGACGAGAAGCUUGCUUCUCUGAUGUUAGCGGCGGACGGGUGAGUAACACGUGGAUAACCUACCUAUAAGACUGGGAUAACUUCGGGAAACCGUAGCUAAUACCGGAUAAUAUUUUGAACCGCAUGGUUCAAAAGUGAAAGACGGUCUUGCUGUCACUUAUAGAUGGAUCCGCGCUGCAUUAGCUAGUUGGUAAGGUAACGGCUUACCAAGGCAACGAUGCAUAGCCGACCUGAGAGGGUGAUCAGCCACACUGGAACUGAGACACGGUCCAGACUCCUACGGGAGGCAGCAGUAGGGAAUCUUCCGCAAUGGGCGAAAGCCUGACGGAGCAACGCCGCGUGAGUGAUGAAGGUCUUCGGAUCGUAAAACUCUGUUAUUAGGGGAGAACAUAUGUGUAAGUAACUGUGCACAUCUUGACGGUACCUAAUCAGAAAGCCACGGCUAACUACGUG